AUCCUGGCUCAGAACGAACGCUGGCGGCGUGCUUAACACAUGCAAGUCGGAUGCGAACGGCGCUUUCGGGCGUUGAGUAGCAUGGCAGACGGGCGAGGAGCGCGUAUCUGACUGGACUCAGGCUGGGGGAUAGUCCCUCGAAAGGGGGUUGAAUACCGCAUGUGCUCGGUGCUGUGAGGGCAUCGAGGAAAGUUGGCCUCCGCGGGCACGCUGAUGGCCUGAGACAGGGAUGCGUCCUAUUAGCUAGCUGGUGGGGUAAGGGCCUACCAGGGCGACGAUGGGUAGCUGGUCUGAGAGGAUGAUCAGCCACACUGGGACUGCGACACGGCCCAGACUCCUACGGGAGGCAGCAGUGGGGAAUUUUGCGCAAUGGGCGCAAGCCUGACGCAGCAACGCCGCGUGCAUGACGACGCCUUUCGAGGUGUAAAGUGCUGUCGACCGGGACGAAGGGGCGAGGGUGAACAGCUUUCGCGCAUGACGGUACCGGUGGAGGAAGCCCCGGCUAACUCCGUGCCAGCAGCCGCGGUAAGACGGAGGGGGCGAGCGUUGUUCGGAAUUACUGGGCGUAAAGCGCGCGUAGGCGGUGCAGCAAGUGGUGCGUGAAAGCCCUCGGCUUAACCGGGGACGGGCGUGCCAAACUGUUGGACUGGAGUGCCGGAGGGGGAGGCGGAAUUCCUGGUGGAGCGGUGAAAUGCGUAGAGAUCAGGAAGAACGUCGGUGGCGAAGGCGGCCUCCUGGACGGACACUGACGCUGAGGUGCGACAGCGUGGGGAGCGAACGGGAUUAGAUACCCCGGUAGUCCACGCCGUAAACGAUGGGUACUAGGUGUGGGGCUUGUGAUGAGGCCCGUGCCGGAGCUAACGCAGUAA
rnacentral:rRNA from 1 species